AAAACCCCUCUGGUGGCUGGUACACACAUCGGACUCCAGCGACCCACGGCAGCCGCUAAGUGUAUCCAGCCAAUUGAUGCCGGUUUAUCUGAUGCUAAAGCCUUUCUAAUGGACCUCCAAAAUUCGAUUUCUAUGCACCACCGGGGCAAAUGGAAAAAGCUCCCGAGAAAUCUACUGUGUAAUAACAAAAUGCAAGACUAGGCAUGGUGGUACACACCUCUGAUCCCAGCAUGUAAGAGGCCAAGACAGGUAGAUCUCUAUGAGCUCAAGGCCAGCCUGGUCUACACC
rnacentral:lncRNA from 1 species